UACGUAGGGUGCGAGCGUUUAAUCGGAAUUACUGGGCGUAAAGCGUGCGUAGGCGGUUGGCAAGUCAGCUGUGAAAGCCCCGGGCUCAACCUGGGAAUGGCGGUUGAAACUAGUCGACUCGAAUCUGGCAGAGGGGGUGGAAUUCCACGUGUAGCAGUGAAAUGCGUAGAGAUGAUGGAGGAACACCGAUGGCGAAGGCAGCCCCCUGGGCUGAGAUUGACGCUCAGGCACGGAAAGCGUGGGGAGCAAACA
rnacentral:rRNA from 1 species